GACGAACGCGGCGGCGUGCUUAACACAUGCAAGUCGAACGAAGAGAGAUGGAAGCUUGCUUCUAUGGAUCUUAGUGGCGAACGGGUGAGUAACGCGUAAUCAACCUGCCCUUCAGAGGGGGACAACAGUUGGAAACGACUGCUAAUACCGCAUACGAUCCAAUCUGGCAUCGAGAGUGGAUGAAAGGUGGCCUCAAUUUAUAAGCUAUCACUGAAGGAGGGGAUUGCGUCUGAUUAGCUAGUUGGAGGGGUAACGGCCCACCAAGGCGAUGAUCAGUAGCCGGUCUGAGAGGAUGAACGGCCACAUUGGGACUGAGACACGGCCCAGACUCCUACGGGAGGCAGCAGUGGGGAAUCUUCCGCAAUGGACGAAAGUCUGACGGAGCAACGCCGCGUGAGUGAUGACGGCCUUCGGGUUGUAAAGCUCUGUUAAUCGGGACGAAUGGUUCUUGUGCAAAUAGUGCGAGGA
rnacentral:rRNA from 1 species